rnacentral:tRNA from 1 species
GAAGGUACAGCUCAGGGGGAGAGUGCAUGCCUAGCAUGCAUGAGGUCCUGGGUUCAAUCCCCGGUUCCUCCA